rnacentral:rRNA from 1 species
UACGUAGGUGACAAGCGUUAUCCGGAUUUAUUGGGCGUAAAGCGCACGCAGGCGGCGGAUUAAGUCUGACGUGAAAUCUCUCGGCUUAACCGGGAGCGGUCGUUGGAAACUAAUCGGCUUGAGGCGAUGAGAGGGGUGUGGAAUUCCCGGUGUAGUGGUGGAAUGCGUAGAGAUCGGCAGGAACACCCAGGGGGAAACCAGUCGACUGGGCAUCUACUGACGCUGAGGUGCGAGAGCGUGGGGAGCGAACCGG